rnacentral:lncRNA from 1 species
UGAUAAACCUGUAACAAGUUUAAAAGGGCUUAUAAAAUCAUGUAAACUAAUUGAUAUUUGGAGAAAUAAAAAUAAAAAUACUAGACAAUUUACUUGGUGUAGGAAAGAUAGAACAGAAGCUACCAGAAUUGAUUAUUUUUUUGUUUCUAAAGAAGUACAAAAAAAAACUGCAAAAAUUGUGAUAUUAGACCUAUUGUCCAAAAAAUAACUGACCAUAAUGCAGUGUCACUCAAAAUAAAUACUGAAAGAGGAAAUAAAGGAAGGGGGUAUUGGAAGUUAAAUGCUAUCAUAAUGAACAAUGAAGAAUAUGUUUAUGUUAUUAAAAAGCUAAUAUCUAAAUAUGAAAAAGAAUUAACCAACUGUGAUGAUUUGGGGAUUCUUUGGGAUAAUUUGAAAAUAGAAGUAAGG